rnacentral:rRNA from 1 species
AACGAACGCUGGCGGCAGGCUUAACACAUGCAAGUCGAACGCCCCGCAAGGGGAGUGGCAGACGGGUGAGUAACGCGUGGGAACGUACCUUUCGCUUCGGAAUAUUCCCGGGAAACUGGGAGCAAUGCCGAAUACGCCGUAUUGGGAAAGAUUUAUCGGCGAAAGAUCGGCCCGCGUUAGAUUAGCUAGUUGGCGGUGUAAUGGACCACCAAGGCUACGAUCUAUAGCUGGUCUGAGAGGAUGAUCAGCCACACUGGGACUGAGACACGACCCAGACUCCUACGGGAGGCAGCAGUGGGGAAUCUUGGACAAUGGGCGCAAGCCUGAUCCAGCCAUGCCGCGUGAGUGAAGAAGGCCUUAGGGUUGUAAAACUCUUUCGCCGGAGAAGAUAAUGACGGUAUCCGGAGAAGAAGCCCCGGCUAACUUCGUGCCAGCCGCCGCGGUAA